AACGAACGCUGGCGGCAGGCCUAACACAUGCAAGUCGAGCGCGCCCUUCGGGGUGAGCGGCGGACGGGUGAGUAACGCGUGGGAACGUGCCCUUUUCUACGGAAUAGCCUCGGGAAACUGAGAGUAAUACCGUAUACGCCCUUUGGGGGAAAGAUUUAUCGGAAAAGGAUCGGCCCGCGUUGGAUUAGGUAGUUGGUGGGGUAAUGGCCUACCAAGCCGACGAUCCAUAGCUGGUUUGAGAGGAUGAUCAGCCACACUGGGACUGAGACACGGCCCAGACUCCUACGGGAGGCAGCAGUGGGGAAUCUUAGACAAUGGGGGCAACCCUGAUCUAGCCAUGCCGCGUGAGUGAUGAAGGCCUUAGGGUUGUAAAGCUCUUUCAGCUGGGAAGAUAAUGACGGUACCAGCAGAAGAAGCCCCGGCUAACUACGUG
rnacentral:rRNA from 1 species